rnacentral:rRNA from 1 species
GAUCAUGGCUCAGGACGAACGCUGGCGGCGUGCCUAAUACAUGCAAGUAGAACGCUGAAGGAGAAGCUUGCUUCUCUGGAUGAGUUGCGAACGGGUGAGUAACGCGUAGGUAACCUGCCUGGUAACGGGGGAUAACUAUUGGAAACGAUAGCUAAUACCGCAUAAUAGUAGAUGUUGCAUGACAUUUGCUUAAAAGGUGCAAUUGCAUCACUACCAGAUGG